rnacentral:misc_RNA from 1 species
GAUCGGGUGUUCCCGCCGGGA